ensembl:lncRNA
UUCCGUAUAGGAUGUAAAUAACACACCCAGGAGUUGUAUGUUAAUAUGACCACUCAUAAAGGGGGUUCCGUGUCGGCAUGACAACUACAAUGUUCUGAACCCGCUAGAAUGGUUGAUGUUGUAAUGGGCUACUCAGGAGGGGGGCUGUCUGUCUGUACCGGUGGGGAGGGACUGGUGAUGUGGGUCUGGACUGGUGAUGUGGGUCUGUACUGGUGGGGAGGGACUGGUGAUGUGGGUCUGGACUGGUGGGGAGGGACUGGUGAUGUGGGUCUGGACUGGUGGGGGUCUGGACUGGUGAUGUGGGUCUGGACUGGUGGGGAGGGACUGGUGAUGUGGGUCUGGACUGGUGGGGAGGGACUGGUGAUGUGGGUCUGGACUGGUGAUGUGGGUCUGGUGAUGUGGGUCUGGUGAUGUGG